AUUGAACGCUGGCGGCAGGCCUAACACAUGCAAGUCGAACGGUAGCACAGAGAGCUUGCUCUCGGGUGACGAGUGGCGGACGGGUGAGUAACGUCUGGGAAACUGCCCGAUGGAGGGGGAUAACUACUGGAAACGGUAGCUAAUACCGCAUAACGUCGCAAGACCAAGUGGGGGACCUUCAGGCCUCACACCAUCGGAUGUGCCCAGAUGGGAUUAGCUAGUAGGUGGGGUAAUGGCUCACCUAGGCGACGAUCCCUAGCUGGUCUGAGAGGAUGACCAGCCACACUGGAACUGAGACACGGUCCAGACUCCUACGGGAGGCAGCAGUGGGGAAUAUUGCACAAUGGGCGCAAGCCUGAUGCAGCCAUGCCGCGUGUAUGAAGAAGGCCUUCGGGUUGUAAAGUACUUUCAGCGGGGAGGAAGGCGGUGGAGUUAAUAACUUCACCGAUUGACGUUACCCGCAGAAGAAGCACCGGCUAACUCCGUGCCAGCCGCCGCAGUAA
rnacentral:rRNA from 1 species